CCACUACCAGUCACCAUCUCUCUCUUCCCUAGGCAGGGGAACACCGGAGCCGUUCAGAUGAAAAAAGAUCCAUAAUGGCAGAGAAUCUGUCAGAAAUUGUGACUUUCCUGAGAGGUCGAGGUACAUCUGAAGAAACAAUCAGUUGGAUUCAAGAGCAAAAGAUUGACAGAGAGGUCAUCCUGCUAAUGGAAGAUGCCCAGCUAGCAAACUAUCUUCCAUCAUACGGAGACAGGAUUGCUUUGUUCAACUUUUGCAAGCGUCAAACACACUCAGCAAAGCGGAAGCAGGGACUUUUUGAAAAGCUAAGGG